AGAGUUUGAUCCUGGCUCAGAAUCAACGCUGGCGGCGCGCCUAACACAUGCAAGUCGAACGAGAAAGUGGAGCAAUCCAUGAGUAAAGUGGCGUACGGGUGAGUAACACGUGGAUUAUCUGCCCUUUUGUGGGGAAUACCGCUGGGAAACCGGCGACAAUACCGCAUAAGCCCGAGAGGGGAAAGCAGCAAUGCGCAGAGGGAGGAGUCCGCGGCCGAUUAGUUAGUUGGCGGGGUAAAGGCCCACCAAGACUGUGAUCGAUAGCCGGCCUGAGAGGGCACACGGCCACACUGGCACUGAAACACGGGCCAGACUCCUACGGGAGGCAGCAGUGGGGAAUCUUGCACAAUGGGGGAAACCCUGAUGCAGCGACGCCGCGUGAGCGAUGAAGCCCCUCGGGGUGUAAAGCUCUUUCGGCAGGGAAGAUGAUGACGGUACCUGCAAAAGCAGCUGCGGCUAACUACGUGCCAGCAGCCGCGGUAAUACGUAGGCAGCAAGCGUUGUUCGGAGUUACUGGGCGUAAAGGGUGCGUAGGCGGCUUUUUAAGUUUGGUGUGAAAUCUCCCGGCUCAACUGGGAGGGUGCGCCGAAUACUGAGAGGCUAGAGUGUGGGAGAGGAAAGUGGAAUUCCUGGUGUAGCGGUGAAAUGCGUAGAUAUCAGGAGGAACACCGGUGGUGUAAACGGCUUUCUGGACCAUAACUGACGCUGAGGCACGAAAGCGUGGGUAGCAAACAGGAUUAGAUACCCUGGUAGUCCACGCCCUAAACGAUGCAUAUUUGGUGUGGGCCAUUCAUUUGGUCUGUGCCGGAGCUAACGCGUUAAAUAUGCCGCCUGGGGAGUACAGUCGCAAGGCUGAACUCAAAGGAAUUGACGGGGCCCGCACAAGCGGUGGAGCAU
rnacentral:rRNA from 1 species